GUUUAAAGGUGCUUCUGGCACCGCUGAUGGAUGAGCCUGCGGCGCAUUAGCUAGUUGGUAGGGUAAAGGCCUACCAAGGCGACGAUGCGUAGCCGGCCUGAGAGGGCGGACGGCCACAUUGGGACUGAGACACGGCCCAAACUCCUACGGGAGGCAGCAGUAGGGAAUUUUCGUCAAUGGGGGGAACCCUGAACGAGCAAUGCCGCGUGAGUGAGGAAGGUCUUCGGAUCGUAAAGCUCUGUUGUAAGAGAAAAACGACAUUCAUAGGGAAUGAUGAGUGAGUGAUGGUAUCUUACCAGAAAGUCACGGCUAACUACGUGCCAGCAGCCGCGGUAAUACGUAGGUGGCGAGCGUUAUCCGGAAUGAUUGGGCGUAAAGGGUGCGUAGGUGGCAGAACAAGUCUGGAGUAAAAGGUAUGGGCUCAACCCGUACUGGCUCUGGAAACUGUUCAGCUAGAGAACAGAAGAGGACGGCGGAACUCCAUGUGUAGCGGUAAAAUGCGUAGAUAUAUGGAAGAGCACCGGUGGCGAAGGCGGCCGUCUGGUCUGUUGCUGACACUGAAGCACGAAAGCGUGGGGAGCAAAUAGGAUUAGAUACCCUAGUAGUCCACGCCGUAAACGAUGAGAACUAGGUGUUGGGGGAAUAACUCAGUGCCGCAGUUAACGCAAUAAGUUCUCCGCCUGGGGAGUAUGCACGCAAGUGUGAAACUCAAAGGAAUUGACGGGGGCCCGCACAAGCGGUGGAGUAUGUGGUUUAAUUCGAAGCAACGCGAAGAACCUUACCAGGCCUUGACAUCCCUUGCAGAGGUAUAGAGAUAUAUCCGAGGUUAUCAAGGAGACAGGUGGUGCAUGGUUGUCGUCAGCUCGUGUCGUGAGAUGUUGGGUUAAGUCCCGCAACGAGCGCAACCCUUGUGAUAUGUUACUAACAUUGAGUUGAGGACUCAUAUCAGACUGCCGGUGAUAAACCGGAGGAAGGUGGGGAUGACGUCAAAUCAUCAUGCCCCUUAUGGCCUGGGCUACACACGUACUACAAUGGCGUCUACAAAGAGCGGCAAGCCUGUGAAGGCAAGCGAAUCUCAUAAAGGACGUCUCAGUUCGGAUUGAAGUCUGCAACCCGACUUCAUGAAGCUGGAAUCGCUAGUAAUCGCGAAUCAGCAUGUCGCGGUGAAUACGUUCUCGGGCCUUGUACACACCGCCCGUCA
rnacentral:rRNA from 1 species